rnacentral:tRNA from 1 species
CAGAAAAUAAUUUAAGUGAAAAUUUUAACUUUGGAUGUUAAUAUUAAAGUUACCCUUUUUUUCUGA